GCAAAAUCCAGCUCAAUUUCCUCGUCAAUCAAAUAUAUCGUAGUAAUUGAAAGCCUUGAUCAGCAUUUAUUAUGCGCAAAAAUGUUCAAUUAUGAGCAAUUACAACAAACAGAACUACAGAAGCAAAUUUACACUAAGAAACCUGAAACCCUGUUCGGAUUAUCUAUCACUUUAUUCAAUGAGCAACCAAAGCAUCAUUAUUUAACACAGUAAUUAAAGAAUCAUUAUUAUUGUUAUUACUACUAUUAGAGUCUAGAACUGGGCUAGAAGGACCGAGAUUAAGAAAGAACACAGAUCUAGCAGCCAUGAGCUUCUUUCUUUUCAGAUAUCGGGGACCAUAGAUCUUGCUGAGGAGGCAAGGAACUUGAUCAAUGAUGGAGAUCCGAGAGUGAGUGUGGAGAAAAUCAACUGGGUGGGUAGAGAAAUGAGUUACCGAGAUGGGUUUGUGAGAUCUGGCACUAAUUUUGGAGUUUCUGAGUUGGGCAAGUGCUCCAGGCUUUAAAUAUCUAUAGAAGCAUUCGUUUCCUUUCGCGGUGGCUAGUGAUCUUGAAAUGGGUUUCAUAUUUGUGAGGAAAAUUCUGGAGGAAGAAAAGGAGGGAAAGAGAAGGGAAGGAGUGUGGUGGAAGUGCAGAUAGAGGAAGAGUGAGAGGGUGUUCAUUAUUAAGUAGC
rnacentral:misc_RNA from 1 species